CUGAUGAACAUGGAUGAAUCUUAUAUAUAUGGGAAAGCAUGAAAAUUGUAUCCAAUUUAGCAAUAUAGAUGAAAAUUAAUUAAUAAACAGUUGCAUCAUUAUGUAAGGAGAUAAAAGGGUUGUCACAAAUAACUAGAUAGCAACUUUUGUGAUAACAAUAGAGGGAAAAUGUGAAAAGUAAAUGCUCAUGAAACAAAAUGAAGUGUUGUUUUUUAUUAAAAUGGAAAUGGUUGUAAUUUAAGCAGUAAGCUCCUCCUCCUUGUGAGUCUCAAUGGUAACAUCACCCUUUGGGUAAGCAACACAAGUAAGCACAAAUCCAGCAGCUUCUUGGUCCUCAUCAAGGAAGUUUCCAUCAGACUGAUCAACACUUCCAGCAGUAACUUUUCCAGCACAAGAUGAGCAAGAACCAGCCCUGCAUGAGUAAGGAAGGUCAUGUCCUUCUUCCUCAGCUUGGUCAAGAAUGUAAACAUCAUCUGGGCAUUCAAAUUCAAUAGGUCCUUCUGGUGUAAUAAGCUUCACUUUGUAACUGGCCAUGCAAGUAAUCCUCCCAUUUCUACCAGAUUUAAGACCAAACAAAGCUUCACCAACAUUUGAUAUGGCUUUGAGGCUAGUCACAGCUGGCUUUCUUGGAAGGAAAGAAGUGCUAAUCAUUGUACCAGAAAUACUAGCCAUUUUUUACAAUUCUUUUCUUUUCUUUUCUUUUCUUUGCUCUCAAUUGUGAAAUGGGGAUUUGAACAAUGGCAAGGGCUUGGGGAUAUAGUGUGUUUUGGAGAAGGUUUAUCUUCCACGUGUCAACAUGCUGUGGUUAGCAUUAUCAGUUUAUCAACAUAGACGGGAUUCACCAGUCAUUUUGUGAAUGUCACGCUCACUCAAAAUCAAGCUUCAAUUUCAGCCCUUCAUUCUCAAAAUGGCUUGUGGCUUUAAUUUUG
rnacentral:lncRNA from 1 species